GAUAAACGCUGGCGGCGCACAUAAGACAUGCAAGUUGAACGGACUUAAUCGAAAUAUUUAUAUUUUGAAGCGGUUAGUGGCGUACUGGUGAGUAACGCGUAAGGAACCUGCCUAUUAGAGGGGAAUAACAGUGAGAAAUCAUUGCUAAUACCGCAUAUGCCAUAGAUAUCACAUGAUAACAGUGGGAAAGGAGCAAUCCGCUAAUAGAUGGCCUUGCGUCUGAUUAGAUAGUUGGUGGGGUAACGGCCUACCAAGUCGACGAUCAGUAGCCGGACUGAGAGGUUGAACGGCCACAUUGGGAGUGAGAUACGGCCCAGACACCUACGGGAGGCAGCAGUAGGGAAUAUUGAGCAAUGGAGGCAACUCUGACGCAGUGACGCCGCGUAAAGGAAGAAGGUUUUCGGAUUGUAAACUAUUGUCGUUAGGGAAGAGAAAGGACAGUACCUAAGGAGGAAGCUCCGGCUAACUACGUG
rnacentral:rRNA from 1 species